rnacentral:rRNA from 1 species
UACAUGGGGGUGCAAACGUUGCUCGGGAAUUUAUUUGGGCGUAAAAGCGCGCGUAAGCGGUUACUUAAGUCGGAUGUGAAAGCCCCUCGGCUUUAACUGAGGAAGUGCACCCGAAACUGAGUAGCUAGAGUACGAAAGAGGGUCGCGGAAUUCCCGGUGUAGAGGUGAAAUUCGUAGAUAUCGGGAGGAACACCGGUGGCGAAGGCGGCGACCUGGGUCGAGACUGACGCUGAGGAGCGAAAGCGUGGGGAGCGAACAGG